GGGCGUGUGGUCUAGUGGUAUGAUUCUCGCUUUGGGUGCGAGAGGCCCUGGGUUCAAUUCCCAGCUCGCCCCCCA
rnacentral:tRNA from 1 species